rnacentral:rRNA from 1 species
CGCGUAGGUGGUUUGGUCAGUCAGAUGUGAAAGCCCUGGGCUUAACCUGGGAAUUGCAUUUGAUACUGCCAGACUAGAUAUGGUAGAGGGAAGUGGAAUUCCGGGUGUAGCGGUGAAAUGCGUAGAUAUCCGGAGGAACAUCAGUGGCGAAGGCGGCUUCCUGGACCAAUACUGACACUGAGGUGCGAAAGCGUGGGUAGCAAACA